CAGUCGAGCGGACUUUAAAAGCUUGCUUUUAAAGUUAGCGGCGGACGGGUGAGUAACACGUGGGCAACCUGCCUGUAAGACUGGGAUAACUUCGGGAAACCGGAGCUAAUACCGGAUAAUCCUUUCCCUCUCAUGAGGAAAAGCUGAAAGACGGCAUCUCGCUGUCACUUACAGAUGGGCCCGCGGCGCAUUAGCUAGUUGGUGAGGUAACGGCUCACCAAGGCAACGAUGCGUAGCCGACCUGAGAGGGUGAUCGGCCACACUGGGACUGAGACACGGCCCAGACUCCUACGGGAGGCAGCAGUAGGGAAUCUUCCGCAAUGGACGAAAGUCUGACGGAGCAACGCCGCGUGAGUGAUGAAGGUUUUCGGAUCGUAAAGCUCUGUUGUUAGGGAAGAACAAGUACAAGAGUAACUGCUUGUACCUUGACGGUACCUAACCAGAAAGCCACGGCUAACUACGUGCCAGCAGCCGCGGUAAUACGUAGGUGGCAAGCGUUGUCCGGAAUUAUUGGGCGUAAAGCGCGCGCAGGCGGUCCUUUAAGUCUGAUGUGAAAGCCCACGGCUCAACCGUGGAGGGUCAUUGGAAACUGGGGGACUUGAGUGCAGAAGAGAAGAGUGGAAUUCCACGUGUAGCGGUGAAAUGCGUAGAGAUGUGGAGGAACACCAGUGGCGAAGGCGACUCUUUGGUCUGUAACUGACGCUGAGGCGCGAAAGCG
rnacentral:rRNA from 2 species